GUAGGGAAUAUUGGGCAAUGGAUGCAAGUCUGACCCAGCCAUCCCGCGUGCCGGAAGAAGGCCCUCAGGGUUGUAAACGGCUUUUGACGGUGAAGAAUCGACAGGAUGCGUCCUGUUUUGACGGUAGCCGUUGAAUAAGCACCGGCUAACUCCGUGCCAGCAGCCGCGGUAAUACGGAGGGUGCGAGCGUUUUCCGGAUUUAUUGGGUUUAAAGGGUGCGUAGGCUGGAAGGUCAGUCAGCGGUGAAAAGCUGUCGCUUAACGAUAGUCUUGCCGCAGAUACUUCCUUUCUUGGAUGAGGAGGAGGCCACUGGAACGGAUGGUGUAGCGGUGAAAUGCAUAGAUAUCAUCCAGAACACCGAUUGCGAAGGCAGGUGGCUGUACCUUAAUCGACGCUGAUGCACGAAAGCAUGGGGAGCAAACAGGAUUAGAAACCCGAGUAGUCC
rnacentral:rRNA from 1 species